rnacentral:lncRNA from 1 species
UUACUUGGUUUGAUGAACUAUAACUUGUAAGUUGUUCCAUUUGAUGCUUGUGUGUGCGUGUUUUUUUUUCUUUAAUAUUCAGUAGCUUGUGUUUUUGGUUCAUUUUCAACCGACUCUGCUUCUUUAUCCUCACAUGCUUCAGUAACCUGUGUUUCUGAUUCUUUCUCAAAAGUUCUCCUCUUCUUUUUUCUCACGUGCUUCACUAGCUUGUAUUUCUGACUCAUUUUCAGCAGCUUCAGGUGUGUUGUCUGCUUCUUUGUCAACUACUUCAAUUGCUAUUUUCUUUCACUGGUUUAUUCUUGGCAACUCCAAUAGGUUCUAUCUUCUCCAGUUCAUUCUCAACUACUGCUUCUGUAGUCUGUGCCUUCUCUGCUUCUUCAUUUUCAAUUGCUUCAAUAGCUUGCGUCUUCUCCAGCUCCUUCUCAACUACUUUAAUCGCUAUUUUCUCCUCAUUUUCAAUUGCUUCAACUGAUCGUUUCCCUCGCUCUGACACAUUUUCAAUCGCUUCAAUUGAUGGUUUCUUCCCCUUCAGACUUUGGAGCCAAACACAUUAAUUGUGAGCAAUUGAACCAUCAAACAUAUGUAUAUUAUUAUAGAAUAGUGGUAUUCUAAUAGUAAUACAUUGAAAUUCUUGUCCGUUCAUGAUAACAGAGCCAAGCAUGUUUCAGGAUUGCUGUGGUCGAUAGCUUAAAGAUGAGUUUGGCAAUGAAGAGCAUGUUUUGGAAUUUCUUGAUGCUCUAUUGUGCAUAGUGCACCUUGGUUCACUGAGGAAGAUCUUGAAGCAUAUAAGAAGUUGUAUAAGAAAUCUGGUUUCCAAACUGCAUCGCAACUUCCAUAUAUGUCCAAAAAUUGCAAUUGAUCUUGAAACUUUCUGGUUGAACGACCCUUGUUGUAAAGUUGUAGCACCUUGCAUACUAUAAAUAGUUUCUGAAAGAGCUUGCACCACUUAUAUAUC